UCGAGAAUUUUUCACAAUGGGCGAAAGCCUGAUGGAGCGACGCCGCGUGGGGGAUGAAUGGCUUCGGCCCGUAAACCCCUGUCAUUUGUGACCAAGGCUUUUGGUUGAACAUUCCAAGAGAUUGAUGGUAGCGAAAGAGGAAGGGACGGCUAACUCUGUGCCAGCAGCCGCGGUAAUACAGAGGUCCCGAGCGUUGUUCGGAUUUACUGGGCGUAAAGGGUGCGUAGGCGGUCGGGUAAGUCUGAUGUGAAAUUCCUGGGCUCAACCCAGAAACGGCAUUAGAUACUAUCCGGCUAGAGGAUUGGAGGGGGGAUUGGAAUUCUCGGUGUAGCAGUGAAAUGCGUAGAUAUCGAGAGGAACACCAGUGGCGAAGGCGAAUCCCUGGACAAUUCCUGACGCUGAGGCACGAAAGCUAGGGGAGCAAACA
rnacentral:rRNA from 1 species